rnacentral:rRNA from 1 species
AUUGAACGCUGGCGGCAGGCUUAACACAUGCAAGUCGAGCGGUAACAGGCCUUCGGGUGCUGACGAGCGGCGGACGGGUGAGGAAUGCAUAGGAAUCUGCCUAUUAGUGGGGGAUAACACGGGGAAACUCGUGCUAAUACCGCAUACGUCCUACGGGAGAAAGCGGGGGAUCGUAAGACCUCGCGCUAAUAGAUGAGCCUAUGCCGGAUUAGCUAGUUGGUAGGGUAAAGGCCUACCAAGGCGACGAUCCGUAGCUGGGCUGAGAGGAUGAUCAGCCACACUGGGACUGAGACACGGCCCAGACUCCUACGGGAGGCAGCAGUGGGGAAUAUUGGACAAUGGGCGCAAGCCUGAUCCAGCCAUGCCGCGUGUGUGAAGAAGGCCUUCGGGUUGUAAAGCACUUUAAGUGGGGUGGAAGGUCAGUAAGUUAAUACCUUAUUGAAUUGACGCUACCCACAGAAUAAGCACCGGCUAACUCUGUGCCAGCCGCCGCGGUAA